rnacentral:rRNA from 1 species
UUGGGACUGAGACACGGCCCAAACUCCUACGGGAGGCAGCAGUGGGGAAUCUUCCGCAAUGGACGAAAGUCUGACGGAGCAACGCCGCGUGAGUGAUGAAGGAUUUCGGUCUGUAAAGCUCUGUUGUUUAUGACGAACGUGCAGUGUGUGAACAAUGCAUUGCAAUGACGGUAGUAAACGAGGAAGCCACGGCUAACUACGUGCCAGCAGCCGCGGUAAUACGUAGGUGGCGAGCGUUGUCCGGAAUUAUUGGGCGUAAAGAGCAUGUAGGCGGCUUAAUAAGUCGAGCGUGAAAAUGCGGGGCUCAACCCCGUAUGGCGCUGGAAACUGUUAGGCUUGAGUGCAGGAGAGGAAAGGGGAAUUCCCAGUGUAGCGGUGAAAUGCGUAGAUAUUGGGAGGAACACCAGUGGCGAAGGCGCCUUUCUGGACUGUGUCUGACGCUGAGAUGCGAAAGCCAGGGUAGCGAACGGGAUUAGAUACCCCGGUAGUCCUGGCCGUAAACGAUGGGUACUAGGUGUAGGAGGUAUCGACCCCUUCUGUGCCGGAGUUAACGCAAUAAGUACCC